CAGAAAGAGGCAACUUGACAUAUCAGGACUGUUAAGGCUGUGGAUAGAGCUGGGGCACACGAAGCCCAUGCAAGCACAGAAUUGCAGAAGUUCAGUGGAGGCUUAUCACUUCCCUGAGAACAAAAGCACAUUUGCAGUUUCCUGUGCAUAAGAGUGUGCGCUCAAUGGCUUUCUUUCCGGGACACACUGUGAAAAUCCAGUAUUAACUGUAUGUCUCCAGGUUGAGGACCGAGAGGGCACAGCCCACUCUGCCAGGGAAAAGGCGAAGUCGUUGCUGCAUCAAUCAGAGGAAGCACUUUCAGAACAACUGAGUCUCCAGGCUAUAAAUACCGAGUUAGUGAACACUUGCCAGGCCCUCGAGCAGAAGACAAGGAAACUGAAAACAACAAUCAAGUCACUAAGAAAGAAGUUAAUCCAAGGACAGCUCCAUGGCUUGCUGUUUCAGAGCUGUUUAGACGAGGAAUUUCCUCAUUAUGAUCCUUUGUCCUGCACAGAUACAAUUCAACAACGUCUUCAAGAACAACUGAAGCAGUGUGGCCAUAAACAACAUCGUGGUCAAGAAGCAAGAAUACAGAAGACUCCCCUGACCUUCAAACAUACAUGCUGGUACACACCCCUGCUGG